UGAUGGUACUGAAUAAAGAAACUUUAGUUGAUUUACAAGAAAAAUAUGAAAAAGUACGAAAAUUACUUGAUGAAGACAGUAAAAAUGAUCCAGAAAAUGAACCAUAUUUAUCGAAAUAUGCGGCACGCCAAAUAUUAACAUCCAUGAAAAGUAAUUUAACAAAAUUACUCGAUGACACUGUACGCAAUACGUUGGAUUAUCAUCAUUUAACCGGUUUAUUAAGUAUUGUAUGGUUAAAUUUGGGUAUAAUAUCGGUUGAAACUGAAGAAUUAUCAACUGGUGAGGAACAACUUAUGAAUUGUUUACGAUGCUUAGAGGAACAUGAAUGUCAUCCAGAUUUUAUUCUGGUCGCUUUAUGUGCUCUCAAUCAAUUGGGUAUAUUGUGGUCAGAACGUGAAAAUUCGCUGAAAUCAAAAGAGUAUUUAGAUCGGGCCGAAAAACUGUAUCUUGAUUUCAAGAAAUCCAAACAAAAUCCAGUCGAUAUGUCAGAUUUGUUUAAUGUCUCGAAAGAUAAUAUUCACGUGGAUACAGGCUUAAUUUUGGAGAAAACGUAUACGCUAACUUUAUACUAUUUGGCUCAAAUAUGUAGUGCACUGAAAGAGGAAAUAAAAUCCUCAGUUUAUUAUCAUAUAACUUUGAAACGACAACUUGAGAGUAAAGACUAUGAACCAAUCGAAUGGGCUUUAAAUUCAGCAACAUUGUCCCAAUUUUUUAUGAAAAAACAUGGCUUCAAACAAGCGAGACAUCAUUUAGCAGCUGCAUCGUAUAUUUUAGAUAAAUAUGAGGCUGAUUUACAACAGACUGAAGAGACUGAGGAAGUUAUGAAUGCGAAAAAAGAACGUUUGCGCCACCGUGGUGCUGAUGUAGCACGAUGUUGGGCUAAAUAUGGUUUGCUUUUAUUGAAUGUUUCUCGAGAUCGUUUAAUGGAAAGCGAUGAAAUCGAGUCAAACGAUAUAUGUACACUAUCAUCAGAUUUAGCUGAAUUACAGUUAAAUUCCGAAAUUAAAACAGAUAUUUCUCAAAUGUUUUUCCCACUAGAGCUAUCAGCCUACGAAGAACAAGUCACGGAUAAAUUUGUCUUAACAUUUGAAGAUGCUAAACCAGUAUUUUUGAACGUACAAUCUUGGUUGAAUAAAGCGAAAGAAUAUUACACAUUAGAGGACCAUGCUUCUGACCACGUUUCCGUGGUACAAGAUAUUAGUCAAGCAUAUAAGGCACUAAUAUUUUUCGAAGAUGACGAAGAACGCCAAUGUAAGAUGUUAAAACGGCGAAUCGAUAACUUGGAACCAGUUGUUAAGGAAUUAAAUCCUACUUACUAUAUGUUGGUAUGUCGACAAAUGUGGUACGAGUUAGCCGAAAUUUAUGGUGAUAUGUUAGAUAUUAAAUUCGAUAAACUACAAAAUUCUCAAAGUGUUCCCACAGCGCAUAUGUUAAAAAAGAUUUACAUUCUUGCAGAAAAAAGUAUUGAGAAUUUUAAUCACUUUUUAAAUUCGUUAAAGGAAAUUUCAACAAAUUCGUUACCGAAAAAUGUUCCAGAAGAUUUAGUACGACCAAUGUUAGUUGCAUACUUUCAUAUUGGACGAAUAUAUGGUAAAAUGAUUACGGCGGAUAAACGACAGCAAUUAAUUAAUACGGAGAAAAGCUAUGAAGCUUAUGAAAACUUGGUGAAUUAUUGUGAUCGCGAUGAAGAAGCGGCAAAAAUGAUGAAUGCUGAAUUGGGUGUUUGUAGAUCGAUGGUACAAUUAUUACCGUUUAAAAUUGAGAAAUUACGCCGACAAAUUGGAUCAACUGAAAUUGUGACGGAAUAAUUUUUUUUUAUCGGCUAUCAACUUGAAUUUGUUUUUUUUUUUGUAUAAAGUUGUAAAUGUUAAUUUUUCGUUAAUAAUGUAAACUUAUUUUUUGCUUUAUUUUUUUAAACGUUUACUUUUUUUCUAUUUCGAAUAUAUUUACACGCCUUCGUAAACAAAUGCAACCAGCAAAAAGUGUUUUAUGGCAAAUAUACGUAUAUCCUGCUUCAAUGAUCAUUCACAUUGCAUUUGGAGCAGUUUUAUUUGCUAUCUGUUUAGUUUGUUGGAUGUAUGAGAAUCAA